UACGGAGGGUGCUAGCGUUGUUCGGAAUUACUGGGCGUAAAGCGCACGUAGGCGGCUUUGUAAGUUAGAGGUGAAAGCCCGGAGCUCAACUCCGGAACUGCCUUUAAGACUGCAUCGCUUGAACGUCGGAGAGGUAAGUGGAAUUCCGAGUGUAGAGGUGAAAUUCGUAGAUAUUCGGAAGAACACCAGUGGCGAAGGCGACUUACUGGACGACUGUUGACGCUGAGGUGCGAAAGCGUGGGGAGCAAACAGG
rnacentral:rRNA from 1 species